GGGGUCGUCCGGUUUUGACAGAUCUACAGUUAGGCAAUUUGCAUGUUGGUGUUGAAAAUAUUACCAUAACAAAUUUUCAAAAAAAUAAAUGACGAAAAAGUCGGAGACUUUGCAACUGGAUUUAGAAACAUCUGUGCUAGCGAGUCUUAUGCUAUAGCUGCCUAAUAAAAUCUUAGGUCGCUACGAUCUUUGAGGCGAUUGCCAUUUGGUCGCUUCUUAGGUUGUUAUAAAAAUCAAUGGUUAAGUUUUCAGUGUUUGACAUUAUACUGAAAAUGAUUUUUUUAUGUCUAGGAUUUUUUUAUAGGUUUGUAUUUUCCUGAAAGAAUUCGAAAUCUCAAUAAAUAACUAAGCAUGUAGAGGAUUGUUGAAUUGUAAGUUUGGACGAGGGUUCGAUUCCCUCCGACUCCACAU
rnacentral:tmRNA from 1 species